rnacentral:misc_RNA from 1 species
CUGGAAUCUCUUACGCUUAUGGCUUUUGUAGGAAUUCUAAGAGAAACCCACAAAAUCUUCUCCAAAAAUGGAAGGCUAAUGGCCUACAUUGCCCUUCUCACCCUCCUCAUCAAGUCUACUCUUUUCCUGUCCAACUUCUUCUCCAUCAAGCCUGUGAUCACUGACUUCCUCUUCGAGCAUAACCUCCUCCGCAUCACUACUCCUGAAAACCCAGAAUUCACCAACAUCCUCACCCAUAUAAGAAAAGACAUCAAAAUCAUUUUUGGGGUCGAAAUCAUUUACAUUAUUCUUGAUUCCGUUGC